GAGAUGUGGGUAGUCCGCACGAGCGCACCUCACUUUUAGUUGCCAUCAUUAAGUUGGGCACUCUGAAAGAACUGCCAGUGAUAAGCUGGAGGAAGGUGGGGACGACGUCAAGUCCUCAUGGCCCUUACGUGUUGGGCUACACACGUGCUACAAUGGCAUCUACAACAGGAAGCAAAACGGCAACGUUAAGCAAAUCCCGAAAAGAUGCCUCAGUUCGGAUUGCACUCUGCAACUCGAGUGCAUGAAGCUGGAAUUACUAGUAAUCGUGGAUCAGCGUGCCACGGUGAAUGCGUUCCCGGGUCUUGUACACACCGCCCGUCACACCAUGGGAGUUGGUUCUACCUUAAGGCAAGGUUUUAAACCCUUGACCACGGUAUAGUCAGCGACUGGGGUGAAGUCGUAACAAGGUAGCCGUAGGGGAACCUGCGGCUGGAUUACCUCCUUUCU
rnacentral:rRNA from 1 species